rnacentral:rRNA from 1 species
CGAACGGGUGAGUAACACAUCGGAACGUACCGGCUAGUGGGGGAUAACCCGUCGAAAGACGGGCUAAUACCGCAUACGCUCUUAGGAGGAAAGCAGGGGACCUUUGGGCCUUGCGCUAGCCGAGCGGCCGAUGUCCGAUUAGCUAGUUGGUGGGGUAAAGGCCUACCAAGGCGACGAUCGGUAGCGGGUCUGAGAGGACGAUCCGCCACACUGGGACUGAGACACGGCCCAGACUCCUACGGGAGGCAGCAGUGGGGAAUCUUGGACAAUGGGGGCAACCCUGAUCCAGCAAUGCCGCGUGGGUGAAGAAGGCCUUCGGGUUGUAAAGCCCUUUCGGCAGGGAAGAAAUCGGCGGGGCGAAUAACCCUGCUGGAUGACGGUACCUGCAGAAGAAGCACCGGCUAACUACGUGCCAGCAGCCGCGGUAAUACGUAGGGUGCGAGCGUUAAUCGGAUUUACUGGGCGUAAAGCGUGCGCAGGCGGCCCGUUAAGACAGGUGUGAAAUCCCUGGGCUCACCUAGGAAUUGCGCUUGUGACUGGCGGGCUCGAGUACGGUA